CCGUGACUGCGUACCUUUUGUAUAAUGGGUCAGCGACUUACAUUUUGUAGCGAGGUUAAGCGAAUAGCGGAGCCGUAGGGAAACCGAGUCUUAACUGGGCGUUGAGUUGCAAGGUGUAGACCCGAAACCCGGUGAUCUAGCCAUGGGCAGGUUGAAGGUUGAGUAACAUCAACUGGAGGACCGAACCGACUUAUGUUGAAAAAUGAGCGGAUGACUUGUGGCUGGGGGUGAAAGGCCAAUCAAACCGGGAGAUAUCUGGUUCUCCUCGAAAGCUAUUUAGGUAGCGCCUCGAGCGAAUACCAUUGGGGGUAGAGCACUGUUAAGGCUAGGGGGUCAUCCCGACUUACCAACCCUUUGCAAACUCCGAAUACCAAUGAGUACUACUCGGGAGACACACGGCGGGUGCUAACGUCCGUCGUGGAAAGGGAAACAACCCAGACCAUCAGCUAAGGUCCCAAAGUUAUUGCUAAGUGGGAAACGAUGUGGGAAGGCUUAGACAGCUAGGAAGUUGGCUUAGAAGCAGCCAUCUUUUAAAGAAAGCGUAAUAGCUCACUAGUCGAGUCGGCCUGCGCGGAAGAUUUAACGGGGCUAAGCAAUACACCGAAGCUAUGGGUGUUUGUGCAUCACCAGAUGCGAUUUCAGCUAACUGACAUUUGUUUUUUAAAUGUCAGUUUAAGCACGCAACACGUUGAGGCGGUUGUGGAGAACAAGUCGUAUGUGGGAUGCACAAACGCGGUAGAGGAGCGUUCUGUAAGCGGUUGAAGGCGAAGGGGUAACCCACGCUGGACGUAUCAGAAGUGCGAAUGCUGACAUGAGUAACGAUAAAGGGAGUGAAAAACUCCCUCGCCGAAAGACCAAGGGUUCCUGUCCAAUGUUAAUCAGGGCAGGGUGAGUCGACCCCUAAGGCGAGGCCGAAAGGCGUAGUCGAUGGGAAACCGGUUAAUAUUCCGGUACUUCUGCUUACUGCGAUGGAGAGACGGAGAAGGCUAGGCGAGCGCGGCGUUGGUAGUCCGCGUUUAAGGCUGUAGGCUGUAGACUUAGGCAAAUCCGGGUUUACAUUAGGCUGAGAGCUGAUGACGAGUCACUAAGGUGAUGAAGUCGUUGAUGCCCUGCUUCCAGGAAAAUCUUCUAAGCUUCAGGUAAGUAGGAAUCGUACCCCAAACCGACACAGGUGGUUGGGUAGAGAAUACCAAGGCGCUUGAGAGAACUCGGCUGAAGGAACUAGGCAAAAUGGUACCGUAACUUCGGGAGAAGGUACGCUCUUGACGGUGAUGAGACUUGCUCUCUAAGCUGUUGGGAGUCGCAGAUACCAGGUGGCUGCAACUGUUUAUCAAAAACACAGCACUGUGCAAAAUCGCAAGAUGACGUAUACGGUGUGACGCCUGCCCGGUGCCGGAAGGUUAAUUGAUUGGGUUAGACUUAGGUCGAAGCUCAUGAUCGAAGCCCCGGUAAACGGCGGCCGUAACUAUAACGGUCCUAAGGUAGCGAAAUUCCUUGUCGGGUAAGUUCCGACCUGCACGAAUGGCGUAAUGAUGGCCACGCUGUCUCCAGCCGAGACUCAGUGAAGUUGAAAUUGCGGUGAAGAUGCCGUAUACCCGCGGCUAGACGGAAAGACCCCGUGAACCUUUACUAUAGCUUGGCACUGAACAUUGACCCUACAUGUGUAGGAUAGGUGGGAGACUUUGAAGCGUUGUCGCUAGAUGAUGUGGAGUCAACCUUGAAAUACCACCCUUGUAGUGUUGAUGUUCUAACUUGGCUCUCUCAUCGAGAGUAAGGACAGUGCCUGGUGGGUAGUUUGACUGGGGCGGUCUCCUCCCAAAGAGUAACGGAGGAGCACGAAGGUUGGCUAAGUACGGUCGGACAUCGUACGGUUAGUGCAAUGGCAUAAGCCAGCUUAACUGCGAGACAGACACGUCGAGCAGGUACGAAAGUAGGUCAUAGUGAUCCGGUGGUUCUGAAUGGAAGGGCCAUCGCUCAACGGAUAAAAGGUACUCCGGGGAUAACAGGCUGAUACCGCCCAAGAGUUCAUAUCGACGGCGGUGUUUGGCACCUCGAUGUCGGCUCAUCACAUCCUGGGGCUGAAGUCGGUCCCAAGGGUAUGGCUGUUCGCCAUUUAAAGUGGUACGCGAGCUGGGUUCAGAACGUCGUGAGACAGUUCGGUCCCUAUCUGCCGUGGGCGUUAGAUGAUUGAGAGGAGCUGCUCCUAGUACGAGAGGACCGGAGUGGACGAACCGCUGGUGUUCGGGUUGUUAUGCCAAUAGCAUUGCCCGGUAGCUACGUUCGGAAUCGAUAACCGCUGAAAGCAUCUAAGCGGGAAGCGAGCCUCGAGAUGAGUCAUCUCUAGAGCUUUAAGCUCUCUAAAGGGCCGUCCGAGACUAGGACGUUGAUAGGCAAGGUGUGUAAGCGUUGUGAGGCGUUGAGCUAACUUGUACUAAUGACCCGUGAGGCUUAACCAUACAACCCAGAUGGGUUUU
rnacentral:rRNA from 2 species